rnacentral:lncRNA from 1 species
GAAACCAUUGAGAGGGAAAUUGGGCGAGGCGAGGGAGCAGCAGUCACCGCCUAUCCGUCCGUCUGAGGUUAGAUUAUCCACUCCCGCCUGCGCUUACUUUUUAACUACUUUUAUGUACAAAUUCUAAUGUGAAAAUUAGGGGAAAUAUCAAUUUCAAAGAAAAAUUAGUGGAUUUUUUAAAUUUAAAGAAAUAAGGUUGAUUUUGCGAGAGGUGUGUCACUCACAAGCGCCUAGGGCAGCAAGCAUCCUGCUUACAACUUUUUUUUUUUAAAUUUAAUGAUAAACGAUUAGAAAAUUGUAAUUGUUGAUUUCUUAAUCAUUCGACAAAUGACCAAAAAUUAAAAAAAUCUUUAAUUUUCUCUUAAUUUUCUAUACUAACUGUUAGUAAUUUCCUGAUUUUAUUCUACUUUCAUCAUCACAAAGAUUUCAGGUAAAAUAAGACAAUUUUUUUAUUUGUCUAUUUUUUAAUAGGUUUAACCAUAAUUUUGUAUUAAAUAAAUGGUUAAUUUAGUGGUAAUUUUAUAAUAUUUUAAAUUUUAGUUUAUUUUAUUGUCUAAAUUAAUUAAUCUUAUUUGAUUUGAUAAACGUUACCGAUUUUAUAAAUGUCAACCCUUCUAAUUCGUUUGGAUCACAAGCACAUAUUUAGUAUUAAAUUACAAAUGGUAAGAAACUAUUAUUAUUUUUUAUUUUAAUUAAUAUCAUUAUUAAGUUGUUAAUAUUAUUAUAUUUUUAAAUUUUUUAUAUUUAUAUAAUCAAGACAAAAAUUGAUUUAUUGAAACAUAUAUACGCAAUUUAAGUGCAAGAGCACCAUGUAUUAUUGAAAAAGGCCGGAUUCUUUCACGUCUUAUAUGCUCAACUAGAUAAAUUGGAUCCCACGCUUAUUAGUGCUUUACUAGAAAGAUGAAGAACCGAAACACAAACAUUCCAUCAUCCAUACGGUGAGUGUACGAUUACACUUGGGGAUGUGGCAUUACAACUCAGUCUACCGAUUGAUGGGGCAGUUGUUACGGGGGUAGUGCACAUUGGGGAGUGGAGGUCGAUUUGUCAUUAGCUAUUAGGCAAGGUGGCAAACAAGUUUAGUGGCAACUAGAUAGAUAUGAAAUGGUUAAAAGAUAAUUUCUUACAUCUCGAUAAUUGUAAGAAGCGUUUUUGUCACCUGUACCCAAAAUUGACUUAUUUCGUUAAAUUCCGAAAAAAACGACUUAUUUCUCUAAUUAUUUUUUGAAAAUGACGUAUAUGCCUAAUUCCCCCAAUUCUAUUACUAUUGUAUUUUCUUCUUAUCUAAUUGACCUCAUUUUUUUUCUUUCUCAUAAAAACAAGGGUAAACUUGUCACCCAACUUUUACAGCGUUUUUGUAGCAGCCCGAUUUUCAGUGAUGUCUAAAACAGUGGUUCGAGACCACCAAAUCCGGCAAAUAAGCUCGUAAAUUUUUAUUAUUUAAUAUUUACGAGCCAAAUGUGGUUUUUAAAAGAUUUUUGAAUUAGUAAUUUGUGUUUUAUAAGGCUUUAUUAGGUUAAGUGAUUUAGAAAAGAGGUAUUGAGAUCUCGGUCCUAUAAAUCGAGCCGUAAAUAUUUUUAUAAAUGUUUACGGAGUGCCAUUAAGGUAGUAUUAAAGUUUUGUUAGAAAAUUUUAACGUUUUGGUUGUUAAUUAAUUAAAAAGAACUAAGGGUCUGUUUGAUUGAAGGAAUUGAUUUUCCGGAAAAUCAUUUCCAACUUUUCCAGCGUUUGAUUGGCGGAAAACAUUUUCCAUUUGGAAAAUAAACUCCAAAACAAGGGAAAAUGGGUUACAUUUUAGGGAAAAUGUCUUACCCUUUCAAUUUCCGUAAGACAUUUUCCGUGCUCUCCUCUCUAUCGCCUCCUUCAUUCCUUCCUUCAUUUCCGGUAGAAAUUACUUCUGUUUAUCGAUUUUCCAGUAACUUGUUUUUUUAAUUAUUCAAUACUUGUUUUUUUAACACAAUUACAAAUAAUUUAUUUGAUAUUAAUUUUUUUCAAUUUAUAACGAUUAAUAUUGUAGCUUAAUAAUUGAGUAUUAUUAUAAAUAAAUCAUUGAAAUAUAUGUAAAAAUAAUUUAAAAUAUAAAAAUUUAUUAAUACAUAUCAAUAUAUGUAAAAACAAUUUUUUUGAAAAUAUUUCCAGGAAAUCUGCCAAACAGCCGAAAAUAUUUUACACAGAUUCAAUCAAACACCAGAAAAUAUUUUCCAGUAAAUUAUUUUACAGAAAAGUAAAACAUUUUCCCGAAAUCAUUUUACGGAAAAUAUUUUACUGGCAAUCAAACAGACCCUAAAUUGAAAAAGGUGCAAAAUUUGCUAAUUAAAGAUAUAGUGAUUAAAUAGCCUAAAUAGUAAAUAAAGGAGGACUAAAAGGGGAAUUGGACCCACAUGGGAUGGCUGAGGCGGCAUAAGCAUAGAAAAAUCAAGAAAUUGGUGUGAAAUAAGGGUAAAAUUGUAAAUUUUGCCAAAUUUAAGUGAAAUAAAAGGGAAAUUGAAAUUCUAGACAUUUUCAUCAUCAUUUUUCAGUUCUAAAAAAGCCAUUGAAGAGGGUUUAUGCUGGAUUUUCAAUAUCUGCUUCAUGUAAUUUUAAUUCUUGCUCUUUCCUUGAAAUUUUUAUGUUUUGGGACUUUUACAAUUAGGUCCAACUAACCAUAUUAUUAGUUUUUGAUUUUGUUGAAAGUUUUGGAAGAUACCAUUGAUAAUUUUAUAUAAUUUUAGUUAUUAGAUGAUGAAAUUGAGAUGUUGAUGGAUAUUUAAAGGUAUUUUAUUAAAGGAUUUUGGAUGAAAUCAUGAUUUAGGGAUUAAAUUGAAAAUUUGUUGAAUUCAUGGAAAAAUUCUAUAAUUUCAUGGAAUUAAUGGGCUGCUAUUGAUAUAUAUGAAAAUAUCUAGGCUUGGGAUAAGGACUAAAUUGCAUGAAUUUUAUUUUCCGAGCCUAGGGAUGAAAUUGUCAUUAAUUAAAAGUAUAGAGGCAAAAUAGUUUUGCCUAAGAUGUGACUUGGAUUGAAUUGAAUGUAAAUUGUAUUAAAUUGAUGUUAAAUUUACUCAUAUAAAUCCAGAUAGAUCAAAAACAGAGUUAGAUCGUGAAAAAUAAAAAGUAUCGGAUUAGUAGUUUACAAGUCACAAACAAUUGUUGAAGUAAGUUCGUGUAACUUAAUUGUGUAUAUUUAUAUGCUUAUAUUGAGUGUUGAAUAUCUAAAUUGUUUAAAUUUCAUAUAUGUGUAUGUAAUUGAUCUUGUAACUGAAAAUCCCUGAUAAAUAAAUAAAUCACGUUUGGAUAAUGAGAUUCGAUGGAUAUAGGGUUCUGUUUCCCGAAAUGGUAGUGUUCCUGCAUAUGUUGCGGGCAUACCGUAGCUCGAAAGAGCGCCCCGUUACAAGCCCUCUCAAGCUUUCCGUUAUAGUGUUCUUGCAAAUUUCCCGUUAAAUGCUCUUCGGAGCAUCCCGAUCGGUUGUGACCCUACAUGUGUUGUGGGCACACCGCAACUAUUAUGAGCGUCCCGUUAUAUGGCUCUCCGUGAGCUUCCCGAUUAAAGGCUCUUUGUGAGCUUUCCGUUAGUGCUCGCUUGAACUUCCCGUUAUAUGGCUAUCUGAUGCUUCCCAUUAAUUGCUCUUCAAAGCUACCCGUUAAUUGCUCUUUGAAGCUACCCGUUAUAGGCUCUUUGUGAGCUUCCCGUUAUAUUGCCCGGAUAAGCUUCCCGUUAGAAGGCUCAAUGAGCUUCCUGUUAUAGUGCUUGAGAGAGAGCUUUUUGUUUAAGUGCUCAUAAAAGCACUCCCGGAUAUGAAUUGACAGAUUUAUAGUAUUGUACACUUCAGGUGUACUACCCAAGUAUCCAUCGAGAUUUCAAAUGAUUCAACGGGUGAAAUUCUGACAUGAGAACAUGUGAAAUCAAAAUGAAACUAUUAUUUGUAUAUGCAUGAAAUACUUGGAAACUCGAUUCCUAAUGAGCUCAUCCUUAUUUUUGUUAUUCACAUAAAAUGCAUGACUAACAUGUUUGUUGAGGUUAUAUGUGUUAGGCUAAUUGCCAAAUUGCUUUGGAUUUAUUAUGCAUGUUUAUUAUAUAAGUAAACGAAUAGUAAGUUAAUUUUCCGUUAUACGAACUUACUAAGCAUUAAGUGCUUACUCUGUCUUAUUUCCUCUAUUUUAUAGUACUCGGAGGCUCGUAAAGGUUGGAAGCUGGUCGGAGCUACACCACACUAUCCCCCGGACUUUUCGAUAUAUAUAUAAAUAGUAAACUAAUUUUGGUAAUAAUGGUAUGUAUAGGUUAAAUGUUACCAUUGAUAGCAAUUUAAUGUUGGUUGAAAUUAGUCAUUGGAAUG